rnacentral:sRNA from 1 species
AGCAAGCUGCCUAGGGAGCUGACCCGAGACUUGGAGCGCAGCCUGCCUGCCGUGGCCUCCCUGGGCUCCUCACUGUCCCACAGCCAGAGCCUCUCCUCGCACCUCCUUCCGCCGCCUGAGAAGCGAAGGGCCAUCUCUGAUGUCCGCCGCACCUUCUGUCUCUUCGUCACCUUCGACCUGCUCUUCAUCUCCCUGCUCUGGAUCAUCGAACUGAAUACCAACACAGGCAUCCGUAAGAACUUGGAGCAGGAGAUCAUCCAGUACAACUUUAAAACUUCCUUCUUCGACAUCUUCGUCCUGGCCUUCUUCCGCUUCUCUGGACUGCUCCUAGGCUAUGCCAUGCUGCGGCUCCGGCACUGGUGGGUGAUUGCGGUCACGACGCUGGUGUCCAGUGCAUUCCUCAUUGUCAAGGUCAUCCUCUCUGAGCAAAGGGGCAUUUGGCUACCUGCUCCCCAUCGUCUCUUUUGUCCUCGCCUGGUUGGAGACCUGGUUCCUUGACUUCAAAGUCCUACCCCAGGAAGCUGAAGAGGAGCGAUGGUAUCUUGCCGCCCAGGUUGCUGUUGCCCGUGGACCCCUGCUGUUCUCCGGUGC